GGAAAGGCCACGUGGGACAUGGCAAGGAGACCCUGUACUUGCCAGGAAGAACCUUCACCAGGAACUGAUCAUGUGGCACCCGGAUCUCAGACUUCCCAGCAUCCAGCUCGUUGUUGCAGGGUAUCUCAUCUGCCAUAUUGCUGAAAGUGGGUUUCCAUGAGAAUUGAACAAGACCAAGCCUUGAUUUUGGACUUCCAGGCUCCAGAACUUUUUCAGGAAGAGAAAAAUCAUGGAAAACUUGUCAGCACCACUUCCUGAGACUAUAUAACACUGGAGAUGGGGUGGAAGCAGCGACAGAAGGGCUUAGCUGAGUUUUCAAAGUGGAGCUGGAACAUGCAAGACAUAAGGGAGGAGCCAACGAAUAGGACUAGAAAUGCACACAUUUGGCUAAUCAAGUUACCACAGGUAAUUGUAAUGGUUUUGUACAAGUCUGCAGAUAAGGAAAACAAA